CUGAGCCCUGGACAAGUGAUUAUGAGGAGGAAGCAAUAGAUAACGAUAGUUCUAUUAACUCUAGUGAAUGGCCAGACCGUUUUGAGAGUCCUCCGACGUGGCAGGACGACGUUACAGACGACUGGGAAGAAAGCCAGCAAUGGCCACGUGCUUCCAGAUCAACAGAGAAUUCCCUUGAACUGGCCAGCAACCUUCUAGAGGAACCAAGAGAUAU